rnacentral:rRNA from 1 species
AACGUAGGACGCGAGCGUUUAUCCGGAGUUACUGGGCGUAAAGCGCGGGCAGGCGGUCUGACAAGUCUGAUGUGAAAUCUCCGGGCUUAACCGGGAGAGGCCAUUGGAAACUGACAGGCUGGAGGGCAGUAGAGGUAGGCGGAAUUCCGGGUGGAGUGGUGAAAUGCGUAGAGAUCCGGAGGAACACCAGAGGCGAAGGCGGCCUACUGGGCUGCACCUGACGCUGAGCCGCGAAAGCUAGGGGAGCAAACGGG